rnacentral:lncRNA from 12 species
GGGCCGGGCUCCGCCGCGGGCAGCCCGCAGCGCCCGGGGCUCCGGGACAGCGCACCUGCCUCCCGCCCGCUCUCACGGGCCGGAGAAAGACUGGGAGAACUGAAGGAGAAUUGAGGAGAUGGGAAUACACAAAGCGAAAGCGUCACAUCGGUGUUUUCCUAAGCCCCUGCCCCGAGACUUUCUCCCUCUCUUCGCUGGGCGCUCCCCAGAGGAUCGGGCACUAACACCCACGUACGUGUGCAGGAGCCAACCCAGGGAGGCUGCUCGUCUGUAAGCUAACCCCACAGAAGUGAAGAGGAAAAAAAAAAAAGAACAACGAAACAAAAAAACUUUUCAGCCAGAUCUGCUCCAAGGAGCAAUUCACAGAAGGAUCAGACAAGAGCCAGUGCCAGCACAGCGCCGAAGGUGGAAACACAGAGCCAGAGCCAAUAGAGGAGAGGACAAGGCAGCCCAAACUUAGAUCAACUCCAGCUGUGAUGGACCCAGAGCGGGAGCCAGCCUGACCACUGAGAAGCUUCCUAAAACCUCUGCACUUUCUCUAAACACACUGAGAUAGAAUGAGUAAGCAUAUGGAGUUUAAAUUACCACAAUACCAGAGAAAUAAAAUCAGGAUUCUUACAUAAACACUGAAUGGGUCAAGAAGAAAGAAAAAGCCCUCAUGGUCAUAAAGAUAUCAAGCAGAGUUUCUGUAGGGUGUAACAGGCCAGGAAAAAUCCUUCCUGAGCUACACAGAUUACACUUGUGAGUAAAUGUCUCCUUUCUAAGCCUUCAUUGUGUAGAUGAGAAGAUAAGGUAGAGGCUGUUUGAGAAAGAUUGAAAAAGACUGAAACCAGAGUAGGAGUGAGCAUUUGGAAAAUUAAUAGUGUGGAAGACAGCACGUUUUUUUUCUGUGCAAAUAUCUAAAUCCUGCCAUCCCACACCCUUAAAAUAUGAAUAUUUUCUUACUUGAGGAUAUGUAAGUUUUUAGAACAAACAGAUUUAUCUGGAUAAUAUUUGUAAGGGCAACUACAUACACAUGCUGAAGUGUUGGAAAACUAAAUUUAAAAGAAAGGAGAAAAAAUACUUAGGAGAUAUGAAGUCCAGAACAAAAAUAUUUCUAAUAUUACAGUUCAGACUGUAAAUAAAACAGGCAAAGUCUAAUAUGUUGA